rnacentral:misc_RNA from 1 species
UUCGAGCGUCAUUUCACCACUCAAGCCUCGCUUGCUAUUGGGCGCCGCGGUUCGCCGCACGCCUCAAUGUCUCCGGCUGGGCCGUCCGUCUCAAAGCGUUGUGGCAACUCAAUCCGCUUCUGGGACCGGGCGACCCCGGCCGUUAAAACACCCCACACAAGGUUGACCUCGGAUCAGGUAGGGAUACCCGCUGAACUUAA